rnacentral:piRNA from 1 species
UUCCUAUUAAAGGCGGGAUAUAAGUGACA